UGGGGAGUUCGCCCGCAAGGCGUUAACUCAAAGAAUUUACGGGGCCCGCACAAUCGGUGGAGCAUGUGGUUUAAUUCGAUGAUACGCGAAGAGCCUUACCAGGGCUUGAACUGUUUCUGACAGGUGUAGAGAUACACCCUCCUUCGGGCAGAUUCAGAGGUGCUGCAUGGUUGUCGUCAGCUCGUGUCGUGAGAUGUUGGGUUAAGUCCCGCAACGAGCGCAACCCUUACUCCUUGUUGCUAUCAGGUUAUGCUGGGCACUCUAGGGGAACUGCCGGUGAUAAACCGGAGGAAGGUGGGGAUGACGUCAAAUCAGCACGGCCCUUAUGUCCUGGGCUACACACGUGCUACAAUGGCCGGUACAAUGAGCAGCGAUGCCGCGAGGUGGAGCGAAUCUCAAAAAACCGGUCUCAGUUCGGAUUGUAGUCUGCAACUCGACUACAUGAAGCUGGAAUCGCUAGUAAUCGGAGAUCAGCACGCUCCGGCGAAUACGUUCCCGGGCAUUGUACACACCGCCCGUCACACCAUCCGAGUUGCAGCACCCGAAUGGCUGAGCUAUCCUUUUGGAAGGCAG
rnacentral:rRNA from 1 species